rnacentral:tRNA from 1 species
GGAAGGGUGGCUGAGUGGCCGAAAGCGGCGGUUUGCUAAACCGUUAUAUGAGUUUUUAACUCGUAUCCAGGGUUCGAAUCCCUGCCCUUCCGCCA